UCUUGAUAAUCUUCUACCUUGAUAUUCUUCUAUACGUUCUUCCAAGAUAAUUUGUUUUGCUAAUUUGUAGAUUCAUAAUAUUAUUGCAGGGUAAGAUCUACAGGCUUUUCGGCUGGGAAUACAGAAAGCCUGCAAGGGUGCCAGCUGCUUGUCCAUACAAGCCUGCUUCAAAAAAUGUUGAUGGUUUAAAUGCAGGUACAGAGUCUCUUGUGGAACCUCAUAAAAAUUCUGCUACACAAUCUGAUAAAAAAGAAGAAUAGAAUCAGAGUCAGCAGCUGUUUCCAUGCCAAAUGAACAGUUUGAAGUUUGUAUCAGCAUGUUAAAAAAUCGUACUUAAUGAUCUUAUGGCAGUGUGUUACAUGUGGUCUAAUUAUAUAAACAUCUUGAACCACAACGAGUGCAGUUUCUGGCUUCUUCCUGUGGUGUUGUGGCACAUGGAUGAGAUGAAAUGUGCAUUCCAUGCUAUUAUUAUUUCUUGAAAUGUCGUCUGCUCAGCAUUAGUUAUUCAA